CUGUGAUGCUGGCUGGCAAACAUGCCCUCUUCGUUGGGGUAUCCCGCGAUUAUGCAAGAUGAGGAAGAAGUAGAGAGCUCGGGGAAAAGAAGAGCUGGAAGGAAGCUGUUGCUUCAUUCCGUUCAUGGAAGGAGAGAGAAAAUAUCAGAGUUUGAUGGGAGCAGGCACAGCCAGCAGAAGGUAAUUAUGCAGCCAAAUUCAGACUCUGGAGAAACACACCAAUGGUGAUAGGUGAUUCCAGGACAGAGAAAACAUACUCCACCAGACUGCAAAUAUGAAACUGACUUUUGAAAUUCUGAGAAAAGAGGGAGGAAUGUUUUCAUCUGUAACCAUGAAUCACAUCCUGACAGCACCAUCUACCAGUCACAGUUCAAACUGUAAGGGAAAAUCUAGUUCUAAAAGCUUCUGAUUGUAAAUAACCAAAACAAUUUCUGAAACAAGAUAUAAUUGUGUCUAAUAUAUUAGACAUUUUAUUUUUCAUUUUAUUUUUAAUUCAUCAUUUUAUACUUUUUCUAUGUCCUCAUAAAUUAUGUAGGGGAUUUCUAGUUAACCAAAAGAAUAUAAUCCAACAUCAUUUUUAGAUCUAUGUGGCAUAGAAAAAUAUAGCUUCCUAAGUUCAUUUUAUUUUCAAAGUUUGGUUUAUAUUCAUAGCUACAAAUAUGUUCUUGAGGAAAAUAUAGUGCCCAUAGUUUGUCUAUGUCCUUUUAACUGUGUUGGUGUCUCAUGCAGUGGAUAAUUUUAUGACUUACCGCCUUACUGACAUUCUCAUGGUAUCCUAAGGUCCAGAAAAAUUCUAUCUUUUAUCCUAGCUCUGAUUUGAGCUUGAAAUGUAAAAGCCUAGAAGGUUAGUCUUUAUUUUUCUUUUGCAGAAAUGGAAAUGAUUUAAAUGACACAUUACUAAAUCAUUAAAGCAUUAUCACAAGUUGUUUUGGUGUAAUGAUUCGGUUUGGAGCCUGCGGAAUGGAAAGCACACUAUUCUGUUUUGCCUUGCAGCCCUACUUUAGUUAAAAGACAUUAAAGUCUCUCAUGAGUAUGUGGUAUAAACUUCUCUGUCCAAAGCCAACAGUCAGUUGGCUCCACACUCACUCAUUUCCUUCUCUUCUCUUCUUCCUCUUCCUCCUCCUCCUUCUUUUCUGACAGAAGCAGAGAAAUUAUGUAAGCAUUUUGAAAUAACUGUCCUUUUGGGGCUGAAGAUAACUAUCACUCAAUUAGAAGAGCAGGAGAGACCAUGUAAACUUGAGAACCAGUGCAAACUGUGAGGCUGAGGAGGAAGCAUGUUUCUAGAAGCACAAAUGCUUCUAUGAGUAACUCAAUUGGCUGUGGCAUUUGGAUCUACUCAAAGGAUUAAAAAAAAAAUUGUUUAUAGACCAGUCUUGGUG